rnacentral:rRNA from 1 species
AUGAAGACUCCCAUUGAGGUUCUCCUUAAUGAACAACCUGAUUAUACCUUUCUCAAGGUAUUUGGGUGUGCUUGCUGGCCGCAUCUUCGUACAUAUAACAAGCGCAAGCUUGACUUUCGUUCUAAGAAGUGUGUUUUCCUUGGCUAUAGCUCUCUUCAUAAAGGUUACAAAUGUCUUCAUGUUCCCACUAAUCGUGUCUAUAUAUCUCGGGACGUCGUGUUUGAUGAGCAUGUUUUUCCCUUUGCCAACCUUCCUGUGUCCACUGUCGAACCACCAUCCCUGCAUUCAUCCUCUGUUGCUUCUGACCAAUUUGAUGAUGUUGCAUACUCUCCUUUGCUGUUACCUAACCAUGGUGCAGGAACCGGACGUGGAGCUCGUUUGGAGCUGUUGGAGGAUUCACCAUCAUCAUCGUCGUCUUCUGGUGGGCAUGUCGAUCGCCCUCUGUUGCAUGGCAUCGAUUCGCGUGCCCAUGCAUGGUCACCCGACGAGCCCGUCGCACUGAGCAUCUCCACUGCUCGGUCUGCUACGCCAGUGAUCGCCGAGUCUCCAGCGGCUUGGCCUUUUUCGCCAGCGGUCGCCGAGUCGCCCGUGGCUCGGCCCGUCACGCCGUCUUUGCCCGCGGCUCGGGUCCUCACGUCGCCUUCAUCAGCGGAUCGGCCCGCGACACCGGCCACGCCACGGCCCACUAUGCCGAGCUCGCCAUCGGCCCGGUCUGGGAUGCCGGAGUCGCCAGCUGCUUCGUCUGCUCUGCCGGUUUCGCCGGUGGGCCGGCCUUCUUCGCCGACUGAGUCCGAGGCUACCGUGCCUGGCUCCUCGUCACCGGCUGACUCGUCAACGUCGCUGUCCUCCAGCCCAUUGCAGGCUGCUCCGUCGACCUCGGUGGUUCCUGUGUCUCGACCACAUACACGCAGUCGCAGUGGCAUUUUCAAACCUAAGGAACGUACGGAUGGUACGGUUGCUUGGUUGGCUGCUUGUUUGGCUGCUGCUGUUGCGGAUCCAUCUUCUGAGCCUCGCUCAUAUCAGGCUGCCCUGCGCAUUCCACAUUGGCGAGAGGCUAUGGAGCAGGAGUUUCAUGCUCUUCUUCGUAACAAGACAUGGACUCUCGUUCCUCCACCAUCACGGGUAAAUGUUAUUGACUCAAAAUGGGUAUUCAAAGUGAAGAAGCAUUCGGAUGGAUCUAUUGAGCGUUACAAAGCGCGACUUGUUGCUCGCGGUUUUCGGCAGCGUCAUGGUCUUGACUAUGAGGACACCUUCAGUCCUGUCGUCAAGCCUACCACUAUUCGGCUUCUUCUCUCCAUUGCUGUUUCUCGUGGUUGGUCCCUUCGUCAACUUGAUGUGCAGAAUGCUUUUCUACAUGGAUUUUUGGAGGAAGAGGUUUAUAUGAAACAACCGCCUGGUUUCUCUGAUCCUGAUCGUCCUGACUAUAUCUGUCGUCUUUCCAAAGCACUAUAUGGUUUGAAGCAAGCUCCUCGUGCCUGGCAUGCCCGCCUUGCCUCUGCGCUUCGUGCUCAUGGGUUUGUGCCGUCCACUGCUGACACUUCAUUAUUUCUUCUACAGAAGCCAGAAGUCACUAUGUAUCUUUUGGUAUAUGUCGAUGAUAUUAUCCUUGUCAGCUCUUCUCAGUAUGCUGCUGAUGCUCUUGUCUGCUCUCUUGGUGCUGAUUUUGCGGUCAAAGAUCUUGGGAAGCUUCACUACUUUCUUGGAGUUGAGGUCACUUCUCGUGCUACUGGUCUUGUCCUUACGCAGAAGAAGUACUCCUUGGAGUUGUUACAAAAAGCCGGCAUGCUGAAGUGCAAACCGACCACCACACCCAUGUCGUCUACCGACAAGAUAAUAGCUGUUGAUGGUGAGCUUUUGUCUCCUGCGGAUGCCACAGAGUACAGAAGCAUUGUUGGUGGACUUCAGUACUUGACGAUCACGAGACCAGAUAUCUCUUAUGCUGUUAACAGGGUUUGUCAGUAUCUUCAGGCUCCCAGAGAUACUCAUUGGGCUGCUGUUAAACGCAUUCUUCGUUAUGUUUAG